AUCCAGCUGACGAGUCCCAAGUUGGACGAAACACGCGUCCUGGAU
rfam:Schistosoma curassoni strain Dakar, Senegal genome assembly, scaffold: SCTD_scaffold0000045